rnacentral:tRNA from 1 species
GGUGGUAUAGCUCAGUGGUAGAUUGCUUGCCUGACUGAGUGAAGCCCUGGAUUCAAUCCCCAGUACCAUAA